UUCCUAUAUAUUUUUCUCUAUUCCAUAAAAUCAUUAUAAAGGUAUGAGUUCAAGCAAUUUUUCUUCUGAUUCUGUGCCCCACGUUGCUCUCAGGGUGUUGAGAGGAGAGAAAUCAUUUCCAUAGAGAGGAGGCUUUGCAUCAUCAGCUGAUCCUCCAGAGAACUGAGAAGGUUUAUAGUCCUGUCAGUUCAACACUGCAGGACUCACAUCUGUCAGUCAACACAGCAGAAAGCACAACCACCAUGACUCUCAUCACCAUCCUCAUCUGGACGCUGACCUGCUGCUGUUUUACAGGAUGCAGCGGUCAGGUGACUGUGACUCAACCUCCAGCAGUGACAUCUACUCCUGGAUCCACUGUCACUCUGACCUGUAGGACCAGCCAAGCUGUUCGCAGAUGGGAUGAUGGUGAUGAGGGUAUGUUUUGGUAUCAACAGAAAUCUGGACAGGCUCCAAAACUCCUAAUAAGAUAUGCAAAAACACUUGAGUCAGGAACACCAACUCGAUUUAGUGGCAGUGGAAGCAGCUCUGACUUCUCUAUGACCAUCAGUGGAGUUCAGGCUGAAGAUGCAGCAGUUUACUACUGUAAGAGUUACCACAACAUAAACAGUGUUCAAGUGUUCACACAGUGAUUUGUAGUCGUACAAAAACCUCCCUCAGUCAGACUGCAGAGACACUGAGCUGUUACAGCAGGAACUGACUGCAGCUGUUUGAAAAGAAGAGACUCUGACACAGACCACUGAACACAGAGCUGACAGUAACCUCACCAAGCACUAAAUACCAAAUUGAAAGUUGUUGUUGUUGUUGUUGUUUUAGGGGGCAUUUUGAAAUAAGGAUUUUUAAAAUAUCUGCUGUGACCAAGUCAUUUUCUGUUUACAUUACCUGAUUAAAUUCACAUCAAAAGUUU